AGGCAGCAGUGGGGAAUAUUGGACAAUGGUCGAAAGCGUGAUCCAGCCAUGCUGCGUGAGUGAUGAAGGCCCUAGGGUUGUAGAGCUCUUUUGUGCGGGAAGAUAAUGACGGUACCGCAAGAAUAAGCCCCGGCUAACUUCGUGCCAGCAGCCGCGGUAAUACGAAGGGGGCAAGCGUUGUUCGGAAUCACUGGGCGUAAAGGGUGCGUAGGCGGGUUUUUAAGUCAGGGGUGAAAUCCUGGAGCUCAACUCCAGAACUGCCUUUGAUACUGAGAAUCUUGAGUACGGGAGAGGUGAGUGGAACUGCGAGUGUAGAGGUGAAAUUCGUAGAUAUUCGCAAGAACACCAGUGGCGAAGGCGGCUCACUGGCCCGUCACUGACGCUGAGGCACGAAAGCGUGGGGAGCAAACAGGAUUAGAUACCCUGGUAG
rnacentral:rRNA from 1 species